rnacentral:rRNA from 1 species
GCGCGAAACCUUUACAAUGCACGAAAGUGUGAUAAGGGAACCCAAAGUGCUUAGCUUUGCUAGGCUUUUGCCAAGUGUAAAUAACUUGGAGAAUAAGUGGUGGGAAAGACUGGUGCCAGCCGCCGCGGUAACACCAGCGCCACAAGUGGGGAUCCUUUUUAUUUGGCCUAAAGCGUCCGUAGCUGGUUUAGUAAAUCUCUUGUGAAAUUGUUCUGCUCAACAGAACAGCGUGCAGGAGAGACUGCUAGACUAGGGACCGGGAGGAGUCAGAGGUAUGCAAGGGGGAGCGGUAAAAUGCUAUAAUCCUUUGUAGACCACCUGUGGCGAAGGCGUCUGACUAGAACGGGUCCGACAGUGAGGGACGAAAGCCAGGGGAGCAAACCGGAUUAGAUACCCGAGUAGUCCUGGCUGUAAACGUUGCGAGCUAGGUGUCGCAUAAUCUUCGCGAUUAUGCGGUGUCGAAGCGAAGGUGUUAAGCUCGCCGCCUGGGAAGUAUGGUCGCAAGACUGAAACUUAAAGGAAUUGG